rnacentral:rRNA from 1 species
CGAACGCUGGCGGCGCGUCUCAUACAUGCAAGUCGAACGCGAAAGUCCCCUUCGGGGGGCGAGUAGAGUGGCGUAAGGGUGAGUAAUGCGUCGGUAACCUACCCCGGGCACCGGGACAACAUUGCUAACGCGAUGCUAAUACCGGAUGACACUCGAGCCGUGCAUAUUGCUUGAGUCAAAGGUUUAUUCCGGCCCGGGAGGGGCUGACGUGCUAUCAGCUUGUUGGUGGGGUAACGGCUCACCAAGGCGACGACGGCUAGGGGGCCUGAGAGGGUGGUCCCCCACACUGGGACUGAGACACUGCCCAGAGCCCUACGGGGUGCUGCAGUCGAGAAUCUUCCGCAAUGGGCGAAAGCCUGACGGAGCGACGCCGCGUGGAGGAAGAAGGCCUUCGGGUUGUAAACUCCUUUUAGGGUUCAGGAACCACCGCCUUCGGGCGGUCUGACCAGACCCGGAAUAAGGUCCGGCUAAAUACGUG